UACGGAGGAUCCAAGCGUUAUCCGGAUUUAUUGGGUUUAAAGGGUGCGUAGGUGGCCUGGUAAGUCAGGGGUGAAAGACGGUAGCUUAACUAUCGCAGUGCCUUUGAUACUGCCGGGCUUGAAUGAACUAGAGGUAGGCGGAAUGUGACAAGUAGCGGUGAAAUGCAUAGAUAUGUCACAGAACACCGAUUGCGAAGGCAGCUUACUAUGGUUUUAUUGACACUGAGGCACGAAAGCGCGGGGAUCAAACAGG
rnacentral:rRNA from 1 species